rnacentral:rRNA from 1 species
GAUAAACGCUGGCAGCGUGCAUUAGACAUGCAAGUCGAACGGACUUUCAGGGCUUGCUCUGAAAGUUAGUGGCGGACGGCUGAGUAACGCGUGGGUGACCUACCCCGAAGUGGGGAAUAACUGCCCGAAAGGGUGGCUAAUACCGCAUACGAUCGUUAAUUCAUUUUGAUGAUCAAAGCAGUAAUGCGCUUUGGGAGGGGCCUGCGUCCGAUUAGCUCGUUGGUGGGGUAAUGGCUCACCAAGGCGACGAUCGGUAGGUGGUCUGAGAGGACGAUCACCCAGACUGGGACUGAGACACGGCCCAGACUCCUACGGGAGGCAGCAGUCGGGAAUUUUGCUCAAUGGGCGCAAGCCUGAAGCAGCAACGCCGCGUGCGGGAUGAAGGCCUUCGGGUUGUAAACCGCUUUUCUUAGGGACGAUUAUGACGGUACCUAAGGAAUAAGCCACGGCUAACUACGUGCCAGCCGCCGCGGUAAAAC